GACGAACGCUGGCGGCGUGCUUAACACAUGCAAGUCGAACGGAAAGGCCCUGCUUUUGUGGGGUUCUCGAGUGGCGAACGGGUGAGUAACCCGUGAGUAACCUGCCCUUGACUUUGGGAUAACUUCAGGAAACUGGGGCUAAUACCGGAUAGGAGCUCCUGCUGCAUGGGGGGGGUUGGAAAGUUUCGGCGGUUGGGGAUGGACUCGCGGCUUAUCAGCUUGUUGGUGGGGUAGUGGCUUACCAAGGCUUUGACGGCUAGUCGGCCUGAGAGGGUGACCAGCCACAUUGGGACUGAGAUACGGCCCAGACUGCUACGGGAGGCAGCAGUGGGGAAUAUUGCACAAUGGGCGGAAGCCUGAUGCAGCAACGCCGGGUGCGGGAUGAAGGCCUUCGGGUUGUAAACCGCUUUCGCCUGUGACGAAGCGUGAGUGACGGUAAUGGGUGAAGAAGCACCGGCUAACUACGUG
rnacentral:rRNA from 1 species